UGAAUGCCAACUGCCAAGAGAACGAUACAAUUGUCAGCGCUUGCUGAGGACCUCGAAGCCAUUGUACCCACCGCGCCUCCGCCAGGGGGAGAGACGCCGGCGCCGGCAGAUUUCGAGGUGUUGCAGCACAGACUCGUCGACAUCGGCUCCAAGGUCGAUGAGAUGGGAAGGAGAGUGGAUGAGGUGGAGAGCUUUUUUGAGAGAAAGAAGCAGUUGAGUGAUUCUGGGAAGAAGACGGCUGGGAAGGGCAAGGGUAGGAAGGUGAGGAUUAAGGUUUCGGAGGAUGAGAUUGAUGCUGAAUUCAUGGGCGUUGGUAUCAGUGGUGCAGCGCCGACGAUGAGGAUGCAGGAAAUCAUACGUCGGUUUGGCAGGAUUUUAAAUCAGAUCUUGCAACACCAGUGGGCUGAGUCUUUCAUGGAUCCUGUUGAUGUUGAAGGUCUUCAGCUUCAUGACUACUAUGAGAUAAUUAAGAAACCUAUGGAUUUCAACACCAUCAAGACUCGGAUGGAAGCAUAGGAUGGCACUGGAUACAAAAAUGUUCGGGAAAUAUAUGCUGAUGUCAGAUUAGUCUUUACAAAUGCUAUGACCUAUAAUGGCGAGAAGAAUGAAUAUCAAUGGCCAAAACUUUGCUGCGCAAAUUUGAAGAUAAGUGGCUCCAUUUACUGCCAAUGGUCCUUAAAGAGGAAAGAAAACAAGAGGAGUCACAGGCGCUAGCUAAAGUAAAUAGGCAGAUUGCUGAAGAGGCUGCUAUCAUAAAAAAGGCACAUGAUACAAAUAAUGAGAGGGUUACGAUUUUACGGGUGGCGUUUGGAUUGUGAAGAUAAGAUUAAAGAAAUCUUUUUAAAAGGGGUGACGAAGCCAAGGAAUGGGGGACCAGGGAGGCUAGAAAAAAAUUAUAAAAAAAAGAGAAGAGAAGAUUUGAAGAAGAAAAAAAAAUGAAAAAAAAAGAUGAGGAGAAAUAAAAAAAAAAAAAAUGAGAACUGUCGUCGUGGCCGCCCGCUGCUCGUCAUCGUUCGUCUCUUGACAUCGUCGUGGUUGAGUGGCUGAGAUAAUGCCGCCAAUCACGCCUGAUGUCGUUACAUGGCCACCAUCAUUGCCGAUGUUACCAAUUGUUGCUGCUUUCUAUUUUUGCCUGCCAUCACUUGUUGUUGCUUGACACCGUUGCUGCUUGAGUGGCUGAGAUAAUGCCGCCAAGCAUGCCUGAUGUCUUAGUUGCCGUCGUCAUCACCAAAACCGCUGUUGCUGUUAUCGCCGGAGAUAGCAGUAACAACGUUUCUCCAUCAAAGAAAAAGAUAAAAGAAGGAAAAAGGAAAGGAAGGAGGAAGCCAGGGAGAGGACCGUCAAAAAAAAAAAAAACAAAAACAAAAACAAAAACUAACGUCCUCCAUCGAUCCUGUUGGCGCUUAUUCGCUCCAUCUAGGGUUUCAUCUCCGCCAUAGGUCUCCAAAUCAAGAAGGGAGUAAGGGACCUGGAGAUAGGGUUGACGACGUAGUCACCAAACACGUCGGCGACAUCAUCAUUGCCUUUGUCUUUGCCUACGUCAUCUCCAACAACGGCGCCGACAUUGGUGCUGUCGAACUCCGGGAAACGGAUGGACCAGUCGAGGAAGAAUAAGUGUGUGAAGCAAGUCACGGGGAGGCAUAACGAUGCUGAGCUCCAUAUUGCGGCCAAAUGCGGGGACCUCGCUACUGUGCAUCAAAUACUCAGAGAGAUUGAUGUGCAGAUGAUGAGGACUGCUAGCGGGCUGAGAUUGUGGAAAUCUGGUCAACGAUGGUCAAUGAGGUCAACAAGGUUGAUGAGAUGGUGCUCUUUGCUGAUGCUGAGAGGGUUUCUGGAUAUUGUGGUGGUUGAGCUAUUGAAGUACUCGGAUAGAGAGUAUAGCGAGAAAGAACCGAUCGGAGUAUGAUGCACUUCAUGCGACCGCUAAAGAAGGGCAUCAAGAUGUUGCCCAGGUGCUUCUAGAUCAUGACCCAACUCUAAGUAAAACAUUUGGCCCUUCAAAUACGACUCUCCUUUAUUCAAGCUGCCACAAGGGGCCAUACUGAGGUGGUUAAUCUGAUGAUUGAGUUAUCCAAGGCCAAUGGCAAAUAUGCUUUGUAUUUUGCUGCCCGACAAGUACAUGUUGUGUAUAUAUAUAUAAAUCAAAGUGCAAAGCUCCCUAUAAACAGCUAUUUUUUUUAGAGCAGUAGUAUCCCUUUGGGCAUUUAAUAUCAUCUCAGGACCAA